rnacentral:lncRNA from 1 species
CCCCAUUUCACAGCCUUAGCAAGCAAAAGAGAAGUAACUUCACUUCCUAUAGACAACUUUACCUAUAAUCAGUGAUUACCAAAGCAAAUGGACUUUGGAUUGGCUUUUCCCACCAUGCCAAUAAUGCAAAUAUUCUUUCAAUAUGAAAGAUUUGUCUGAGUUUGUUGUAAACUUCUUUCAACCAUAAGGAUUUGGACAGGAGAGAAGACAAAUGCACAUUGCAUCCCAGACCAGAGCAUGAAACUAAUGACACAGAAUUCUCUCAAAGAUCAUUUUUCACUAACUGUAUACAUAAAAGCUUUGGGUUAUUUAUUUCGGUAUCGAAUUAAGUUUGGACUGCAGAUUUCGGUCCAUCAUCUUGAAACCUGACUAGGGAGUGGCUGUUUUGAAGGUGCUUACUGUUAAGAAAUGGCUUAAAAUUGGUAGUGGAUUGUUGUUGUUGGUAGUGGGUUGUUGGUGGUAGUGGAUUAGUGGAUGGUUGUUGGUGUCCAUUUUCAACCACAAAUCUUUGCCAAAGUUUUGGACAAUUAUGUCCUUGAACUCUCUUAUAAAUAGAGAGGUUCAUUAGCCAUAUUCAUCAUCCCAAACCAAGAGAGAGCAAAGCUUGUUCUUUGAAAGCUAGGAUUUUAGCUUUCGGGUUUUCUAUAGGGGUUGAGAGUUGUGAGGUUCUCGGGUUGUGUCUUGAGUGUAAAACACUUGUAAUCUUCAUCUUGUUAUAGUGAAAUUUCUUUUCGCCUCUGCCCGUGGACGUAGGCAUUAAAGCCGAACCACGUAAAUCCUUGUGUUCACUUUAUUUUUCGUUUCGGUCAAUUUACUUGUAGUCAUAUCGGAGUUCUCGAAUCGAUCCUUUCCGCAACAAAUUGGUAUCAGAGCGUAGUUGAAGGAGUGAUAAUAUUUUUUGAAUUGCCCUGUGACUGCAGCUUUGUCUGAUCUUUCACAUCAGGAAGAAAAUAUUAUCAUUCAUUCAAAGGUUCCAAAUUAUGGCUACAAGUGUUUCAUCGACUAAGUAUGAUGUCGAGAAAUUUACCGGGAAAAAUAGUUUCAGUUUAUGGCGCAUCAAGAUGCGGGCAGUGCUGGUUCAACAAGGAUUGCUAAAAGCAUUGUCUGGUAAAGAUAAAUUACCAAGCACGCUUUCGGAAGAGCAAAAGGAUGACAUGCUAGAAAGAGCACAUAGUGCUAUUCUGCUAUGUCUAGGAGAUGAAGUGCUACGAGAAGUAGCGGAUGAGAAAACCGCGUCCGGUUUGUGGCUCCGGUUAGAGAGCAAGUACAUGACGAAGUCAUUGACGAACCGGCUCUACCUCAAGCAAAGACUCUAUGCCCUGAAGAUGGAGGAAGGUACACCUGUUUCCCAGCACCUGGAUAAAUUCAAUUCCAUUAUCAUGGAUUUGAAUAAUAUCGAUAACAAAAUCGAUGAUGAGGACCAAGCAAUAAUUGUUUUGUGUUCUUUGCCUCCCUCGUAUGAGAAUUUUGUUGAUACAAUGAUGUACGGUCGUGAUGACCUGACUCUAGAGGAGGUGAAAAAUGCCUUAAGUUCCAGUGAGUUGAGGAAGAAAAUCACUGGUAAGGUGGUCGAAAACAAUGAAGGCGAAGGCUUGGUUGCUCGAGGAAGAUCCAAGGCAAAGGGUGGAAGUUCAAGUAAAAGCCAUCCUAGAUCGCAGUCCAAGAAGAGAAUACAGUGCUACUACUGUAAGAAGUACGGGCACAUGAAGGUAGAUUGUCCGAAAAGGAAGGAGAAAUCAGAAUCACAGGAGCAACAAAAUGAUCGUGCGAAUGUAGCUGAUGCAGAUUCUUCAAGUGAUGCCGAGAUCGUUCUUGCAGUAUCCGACUCUUACGCUGGUGGGAGAUGGAUUCUUGAUACGGGAGCUACAUUUCAUAUAAGUACUUCGAAAGAUGCAUUCUCAACAUACGAGAAGCAUUCUGGUUCAGUACUAAUGGGAAAUGACCACGCAUGUCAAGUCAUGGGGAUUGGCACAGUUCGUAUAAAGAUGUUUGACGGUAUUGUUAGAACUCUAACUGAUGUUCGGCACAUUCCAGAAAUGAAGAAAAAUUUGAUCUCUUUGAGUACGUUGGACAAGAAAGGCUUUCGGUACUCUGCUGAAGGUGGAGUUCUCAAGGUAUUCUCGGGUGCUUUGACUGUGAUACGUGGUAAUUUGGAGCGGGGCCUUUACUUCCUCGAUGGUUCCUCGGUUACAGGUGUUGCGGGAGUGUCAUCAUCAGAUGAUCUAGAUUCUGACACCACGAAGUUAUGGCAUAUGCGGCUCGGGCAUAUGAGCGAGAGAGGCUUAUCGGUGCUAAGCAAACGAGGAUUAUUGUCUGGGCAGUGUACAGGAAAGUUGAAUUUCUGUGAGCACUGCGUCUUCGGUAAGCAGACUCGGGUAAAGUUCAGCACUGGGAUUCACAAGACAAAAGGCACAGUGGAUUACUUCCAUUCUGACCUUUGGGGGCCUUCUCCGACAAUUUCUAAAGGUGGUUACAGAUAUCUGCUUACCUUUAUCGAUGAUUACUCGAGAAAGGUUUGGGUGUAUUUUCUGAAGAGCAAGUAUGAGGUUCUCAUCAACUUCAAGCAAUUUAAAGCUUUGAUCGAAAAUCAAACAGGAAAGAAGAUCAAGCGAUUCCGGACGGAUAAUGGCUUGGAGUUUUGCUCAGGUGAAUUCAAUGAGUUCUGCAAAAAUGAAGGAAUAGUGAGACACCGCACUGUUCGUCGAACACCACAACAAAAUGGAGUUGCAGAACGCAUGAAUAGAACUCUCUUGGAGCGAGCUCGUUGCAUGCGAUCAAAUGCUGGGCUCGGUGAAGAAUUUUGGGCUGAAGCUGUUAAUACUGCUUGUUAUUUGGUUAACAGAUCUCCGUCAACAGCUAUUGAGCUGAAGACUCCUGAGGAAGUAUGGUCUGGUUCUCCUGCUGAUUACUCUGGUUUAAGAGUGUUUGGCUGCCCUGCGUAUGCUCAUGUAAAUGAGGGAAAACUCAAACCGAGGGCGAAGAAAUGCAUAUUUCUUGGAUACGGCCAAGGGGUGAAAGGAUACAGGUUGUGGUGUCCUGAUCCGGUUUCGUCCAAGUUCAUCAUCAGCAGAGAUGUGACUUUUGAUGAGUCAUCCAUGCUUCGAUCCACCACAAAUUCCCGGGAAAAGGAGGAGUCAGAUAGAAUGGGAGAUCACGGUGUUGAGAAGCAGGUGGAGUGUCAGGUGGACGCUCCAAUUCCUACGGAAGGUACUUCAGUCCAGGAUGAUCAAGUUGAGGUGCAAGAUUCCGAUGAAGAUGAGUCACCUCAAGAAAAACCAUAUAACAUUGCCACUGGAAGAACGAAGAGACAAAUCAAACCAAAUCCGCGUUACGCUAAUCUGGUGUCUUUCGCGCUCAGUGUGGCGGAGUCCAUUGGUAUAGAACCUUCCAGUUAUAAUGAGGCUGUCACGUGUGAUGAGUCGGCACAGUGGGCAAUUGCUAUGAGUGAGGAGAUAGAAUCUCUUCACAAGAACCAUACUUGGGAGUUGGUUAAGCCGCCAAGUAACCAGAAGAUAGUUGGUUGCAAAUGGGUCUUCAAGAAAAAGGAAGGCAUCCUAGGGGUUGAAGCAACUAGAUUCAAGGCACGAUUGGUUGCUAAAGGCUUCACUCAGAAAGAGGGGAUUGACUACAAUGAAGUUUUCUCCCCAGUCGUAAAGCAUUCUUCCAUUCGUGUAUUACUUGCCAUGGUGGCCAAGUCUGAUCUAGAACUUGAGCAGCUUGACGUAAAAACGGCGUUCUUGCAUGGUGAGCUCGAGGAAACAAUCUACAUGCGUCAACCAGAGGGUUUUACAGUUCCUGGUAAAGAAGACCAUGUCUGUCUAUUAAAGAAGUCUUUAUAUGGAUUGAAACAAUCCCCAAGGCAGUGGUACAAGCGGUUUGAUAGCUUCAUGAUUCAGCAUGGUUACACAAGAUGUGACUAUGAUGCUUGUGUCUAUCAUCGGAAGCUCUCAGAUGGUUCGCACAUUUAUUUGUUGCUGUAUGUUGAUGACAUGUUAAUUGCUUCCAAAAACAUGUCGGAAAUCAACAAGUUAAAGUCGCAGUUGAGUGGUGAGUUCGAGAUGAAGGAUCUGGGUGCUGCCAAGAAAAUUUUGGGCAUGGAUAUUCACAGAGAUCGCAAGGCGGGCAAGCUUCGUGUGUCGCAGAAGAACUACAUUGAAAAGGUUCUUCAACGCUUCGGCAUGGAUAAAGCGAAAACUGUGAGUACUCCGUUGGCACCACAUUUCAAACUCUCUGCAGAGUUGUCACCACAAUCUGAUGAAGAAAAGCAGCAAAUGUCUCACAUUCCAUACUCGAGUGCAGUUGGAAGCGUGAUGUAUGCAAUGGUUUGCACUCGUCCAGACAUUUCACAUGCAGUUAGUGUGGUCAGCAGAUACAUGAGUUGUCCUGGCAAGGAACACUGGCAGGCCGUGAAAUGGAUUCUCAGGUACUUGAGAGGUUCUGCAGAUUUAUGCUUGGUAUAUGAUCAGAGUGACUGCACUAGCAGUGUCACGGGCUAUGUGGACUCUGAUUAUGCUGGAGAUCUGGACAAAAGAAGAUCUCUGACGGGUUAUGUUUUCACUUAUUCUGGAGGAGCCAUUAGUUGGAAAGCUGUGUUACAGUCUACCGUAGCCUUAUCUACGACUGAGGCGGAAUAUAUGGCGUUAGCAGAAGCAGUGAAAGAAGCAUUGUGGAUGAAAGGUCUAGUAAGCAGUUUGGGUUUACAACAGGAUUUCACUGUUGUAUUUUGCGAUAGCCAGAGUGCCAUACAUCUGACUAAAAAUCAGAUGUUUCAUGAACGGACCAAACACAUUGAUGUCAGAUAUCAUUUUGUUCGGGAACAUGUUACGCAAGGUGACAUUGUUAUCAGCAAGGUUGCUACCGAGAAGAAUCCUGCAGAUAUGUUAACUAAGGUGAUCCCUGCAUAUAAGUUCAAGCAUUGCUUGGACUUGAUAGGUAUUCGGGAUUGAUUAGCGCCAGAGAGGCGUUUGGAAGAGGUGAUCCAGUUCGAGGAAUUCACUAUGAUGUUCAGCUUGGUAAAUUUCAAGCCAAGGUGGAGAUUUGUUAAGAAAUGGCUUAAAAUUGGUAGUGGAUUGUUGUUGUUGGUAGUGGGUUGUUGGUGGUAGUGGAUUAGUGGAUGGUUGUUGGUGUCCAUUUUCAACCACAAAUCUUUGCCAAAGUUUUGGACAAUUAUGUCCUUGAACUCUCUUAUAAAUAGAGAGGUUCAUUAGCCAUAUUCAUCAUCCCAAACCAAGAGAGAGCAAAGCUUGUUCUUUGAAAGCUAGGAUUUUAGCUUUCGGGUUUUCU